AGCAGCCGCGGUAAUUCCAGCUCCAAUAGCGUAUAUUAAAGUUGUUGCAGUUAAAAAGCUCGUAGUUGAAUUUCGAGAUCAAAUUGUUGGUCGUGCCUUGGUACGCACUGGCAUUAUUGGUUUCUCCCUUCUGACGAACCAUGAUGUCAUUAAUUUGGUGUCUUGGGGAAUCAGGACUGUUACUUUGAAAAAUUAGAGUGUUUAAAGCAGGCUCACGCUUGAAUACAUUAGCAUGGAAUAAUGAAAUAGGACGUUUGAUUCUAUUUUGUUGGUUUCUAGGAUCGACGUAAUGAUUAAUAGGGAUAGUUGGGGGCAUUAGUAUUCAAUUGUCAGAGGUGAAAUUCUUGGAUUUAUUGAAGACUAACUACUGCGAAAGCAUUUGCCAAGGAUGUUUUCAUUAAUCAAGAACGAAAGUUAGGGGAUCGAAGACGAUCAGAUACCGUCGUAGUCUUAACCAUAAACUAUGCCGACUAGGGAUCGGAUGAUGUUAAUUUUUA
rnacentral:rRNA from 1 species